UACAAUUGAAUGACAUGCCCUCUCAGUGCAACACCCGCCUAAUAACACGCCCAAGCUCAGAGAUCAUCUCCAGCCUUAACAUAAGCAUGUGCCCGAGCAAGAUCUGCAUCGUCGGCAGGAUACAAACUCCGUGCAAAGAGCUUCCGUCACACCACCUCAGGCAAUACAAUUGAAUGACAUGCCCUCAUAAUGCAACAUCAUCAGCCCUAUAAGACGCCCGAGCAUGUAGCUCAUCUCCAGCCUCAACAUAAGCACAAGCCCAAGCUAGACAUGUAUCAUCGACCGGAUCCAAACUCCUUGCAACAGGGAGUGCGCAUAAGCUUCUGCGACACGAGGUCAGGCAAUACAAUUGAAUGACAUGCCCUCUCAGUGCAACAUCUGCCUAAUAACACGCCCAAGCUUAGAGCUUCUCUCCAGCCUUAACAUAAGCAUGCGCGGGUGCAAGAUUUGCAUCGUCGGAAGGAUCAAAACUACGUGCAUAGGACGCCCGAGCACUGCAGCUCGUCUCUAGCCUCAACACAAGCACGAGCCCAUGCAAG
rnacentral:lncRNA from 1 species